rnacentral:rRNA from 1 species
AUGUACUUUCAUGGCGCCCGUUUUUCCAAUUAUGAAGCAUGGCUAAGUGAUCCUACUCACAUUGGACCCAGUGCUCAGGUAGUUUGGCCUAUAGUAGGGCAAGAAAUAUUGAAUGGUGAUGUAGGCGGGGGUUUCCGAGGAAUCCAAAUAACCUCUGGUUUUUUCCAGCUUUGGCGAGCAUCUGGAAUAACUAGUGAAUUACAACUCUAUUGUACUGCAAUUGGUGCAUUGAUUUUUGCAGCGUUAAUGCUUUUUGCUGGUUGGUUCCAUUAUCACAAAGCCGCUCCCAAAUUGGCCUGGUUCCAAGAUGUAGAAUCCAUGUUGAAUCACCACUUAGCGGGAUUAUUAGGACUUGGGUCUCUUUCUUGGGCGGGGCACCAAAUUCAUGUAUCUUUACCAAUUAACCAAUUUCUUGACGCUGGGGUGGAUCCUAGUACUACUAACUAA